AUUCUGGUAUACAAGUUGUAUUGUAUUAUAAACUGGUUACCAACAUAAUUAGAGCAGUAAAAAUAUAUGUUUGGUCAUACCCGUGGUAUAGGUCUGUGUGGAUGGAGCCCUGAAUGCUGAUUGGCUGAAAGCUGUGGUAUCAGACCGUAUACCACGGGUUUGACAAAACAGAUGUUUAUGGCUCUAAUUACAUUGGACACCUCAGGGGUUUGUUGUACAGUUGAAGUCCACACAUUUUCUAUUGGAUUCAGGUCAGGGCUUUGUGAUGACCACUCCAAUACCUUGACUUUGUUGUCUUUAAGCAGUUUUUCCACAACUUUGGAAGUAUGCUUGGGGUCAUUGUCCAUUUGGAAGACCCAUUUGUGACCAAGCUUUAUCUUCCUGACUGAUGUCUUGAGAAGUUGCUUCAAUAUAUCCACAUAAUUUUCCUUUCUAAUGAUGCCAUCUAUUUUGUGAAGUGCACCAGUCCCUCCUGCAGCAAAGCACCCCCCCACAACAUGAUGCUGCCACCCCUGUGCUUCACGGUUGGGAUGGUGUUCUUUGGCUUGCAAGCCUCCCCCUUUUUCCUCCAAACAUAACAUUGUUCAUAAUGGCCAAACAGUUCUAUAUUUGUUUCAUCAGACCAGAGGACAUUACUCCAAAAAGUAUGAUCUUUGUCCCCAUGUGCAGUUGCAAACCGUAGUCUGGCUUUUUUAUGGUGGUUUUGGAGCAGUGGCUUCUUCCUUGCUGAGUGGCCUUUUAGGUUAUGUGGAUAUAGAUACUUUUGUACCGGUUUCCUCCAGCAUCUUCACAAGGUCCUUUGCCGUUGUUCUGGGAUUGAUUUGCACUUUUCACACCAAAGUACGUUCAUCUCCAGGAGACAGAACUCAUCUCCUUCCUGAGCGGUAUGAUGGCUACGUGGUUCCAAGGUGCUUAUACUUGCGUACUAUUGUUUAUACAGAUGAACAUGGUACCUUCAGGCCUUUGGAAAUUGCUGAACCAGACUUGUGGAGGGUCUCCAAUUUUUUUUCUGAGGUCUUGGCUGAUUUCUUUUCAUUUUCCCAUGAUGUCAAGCAAAGAGGCACUGAGUUUGAAGGUAGGCCUUGAAAUACAUUCACAGGUACACCUCCAAUUGACUCAAAUUAUGUCAAUUAGCCUAUCAGAAGCUUCUAAAGCCAUGACAUAAUUUUCUGGAAUUUUCCAAGCUGUUUAAAGACACAGCCAACUUAGUGCAUGUAAACUUCUGACCCACUGGAAUUGUGAUACAGUGAAUUAUAAGUGAAAUAAUCUGUCUGUAAACAAUUGUUGGGAAAUAUUACUUGUGUCAUGCACAAAGUAGAUGUCCUAACCUUCUUGCCAAAACUACAGUUUGUCAACAAGAAAUUUGUGGAGUGGUUGAAAAACUAGUUUUAACGACUCCAACCUAAGUGUUUGUAAACUUCCGACUUCAACUGUAUAUGGCCAAUAUACCACGGCUAAGGGCUGUAUCCAGGAACUCCGCUUUGCGCCUUGCAGAAGAACAGCCCUUAGCCGUGGAAUAUUGGCCAUAUUCCACACCCGUCGUGCCUUAUUGCUUAAAUAUACCACAGCUUUUAGCCAAUCAGCAUUCAUGCCAGCUGCCAACUUAGCCUCGAGAGAUAGGAACAGCGACUGUUAGUGGCCUGUCGAGGCCACUGCCACAACUCUGUCCAGAAAAAGGAGGAAACAUUUACAGUAUAAUUUUCUUCUCCCUUGCUUGUGCCUAGCAUUUGUUAACUUCUGUCUUUAUGCAUCUGUUUCAGGACUUUCAUCAUGACUACAUGGAAGUUGAUAGAAAGAUUUAGGAGGUCAUGUUUUUUAAUGGUCAUCUGGUGGUCAUUUAAUGGUCAUUAUUAUAACUUAAAUGUCAUCAGAACCCAAAAUAUAAGCUUGUUUUAGUCCAUUGUUUGUAAACAAAGUAAUUGUAAACAAACACUGUAUUGUCUCAAAACAUUAAAACGAUAAUGUUUAUAUCAUGGAUGGUUAGUCCCUGCAUCCUUAGCUCUGUCAAUUUGAGAGUGGUUACUGGACAUUUCUCCAGCCUCAUCCCUCAAUGUGUUUACCAAAGCAAUGGCAGAGCGACAGAAUUUUCUGGCAUGUUCUCGAUUUUCACAUGGGCUUUCUCUUCUGGUCAGGUGACAACCCAGUGGUAAUAAUUUUUAUGAGGUUAGUGGCUGUUUCAGGUGGGUAAAUAUAGCAGGAGAAGGCUGCCCCAGCCGCCCUGCAGUCUGCUCUACCCAGGAGUUUGUGUGGGUAAAUAUAGCAGGAGAAGGCUGCCCCAGCCGCCCUGCAGUCUGCUCUACCCAGGAGUUUGAGCAGCUCUAGCCCCAUCCUGCCGGUGAAAAUGAUUCACUGCGUUGUCAGAACGGGCGAAACGUGCGGAGGAGUGACCGACAGAAAAGUGUUUCUCACCAUCUACGGAGACCUGGGAGACACGGGAAUGCAAACUCAGCAAGUCAGAGCAACAGCAAAAAGUUUGAAAGAGUAUGUGUGUUAUUAUUUGGUCACACUUUACAUUAAGUUGCAAAGAUACCAUGUAGUUUACCGUGUUGUUUCAUGGAAUACUAAAACCAAAGACAGCACAGUAUUGCUAAAAUCGUGUCAUUUCAAAAGGUUAACUAAUUAAUGCAAAGUGUGUCUGUUUCUGAAUUCCCUAAAGCCUCUCUCAGUCCAUCAUAGUGAUUAAGAGCAGUCAGGUUGAUUUUACUUCACUACAUGUGUCCCUUUUCUAUUUGUCUCGCCCUGGUGAAUAAGUUCUCCAUCGAGGUGGUGGAUCUCGGCCAGGUGUUUAAGAUCCGUAUCCGCCACGACAACUCGGUUAGUGCUAUCCGGGAAUCCUUGGGACGUCCCUACCCUACACCCUAACCAUAACCAUAACCCCUACCCUUACCCUAACCUUAACCCUUACUUCAAUGGGGUGAUGUCAGAGUUGGGACGUCCCAAGGAUCCCGUUUAGACUUUUGCCAGAGAGGAAGUAGAGCUUUUGUGGUAGUCUACCUCUCACUCUGUCUCUUUUUCUCUCCCACGGCUGGGUGAUAAUAGCGCCACCCCAGAGAGCUGCUGGUUGGUGGAUGAGCUGUCGGUUGUCGUGCCGACAGAAGGCAUCAAGUACAUCUUCCAGUGUAAGUGCUGGUUGGCCAAGGACAGAGGCAAUGGUCUCAUCACAGACUGUUCAACAUACUAGACACCAACAUCAUCCGGAAGGCACGGGCACUGAUGCCAACUUGUUCCAGAUAGUAUUUGGGAAUUACAGGGACACUGGUACGCUGGCACUGAAGGAGGGCGGUAAGCAGAUACAAGUUUGAGUGAAAGUCCAAAGAUGUGUUCCGCUUCCCAGACAUCCUCAUCUUGGGAGAGUAGUCCAAGAUCUGCGUGUGGCACGACAACAAGAGUCCUGCCCCAGGUUGGCACCUGGAGUACAUCAAUGUGAUAGAUGAGACCAUGGGCCAGAAUUUCCGUUUCCCAUGUGACCCCUGGCUGGCCAAGCAUGUCGACGACGGGCCGAUCAUGAGAGAGCUGGCCUGCGCCAACAACUACAUCCUGGUCUUCAGUGACAAGACCAAUGAGUUAACCUCUGACCCUGAUGUAGGCUAGUGAUGACAUGACCAAAGAUGUUAUAUGAAUGAAGAUGUCCCACUGGGCACAGUUGUCAGUUCAAUGCCUCGUUUUGAUUUACAUUUGUUUGUCAACUAACGUGAAUUCAACAUGAAAUCCCUCCCAAAAUUCACCAUGUCAUUGGAUUUAGGUUAAAAAAGACAAAAUGCCCUAACAUGGAUGACUUUUUGCUAAUCCAAUUAGUUUUACAAGUUGAUUCAAUGUUGGGGUGAUGUGAUGUGGAAACAAUGUUGAAUCAACCAGUUUAUUCCCAUUGGGGUACCACUCAGACCGUUUGCUAUUGAACAACAAUUGUCUGGGGUGAAAAAAAAGAAAUGAGGUAAAACUGAUUUAAGUUGCCCUGCAUUAAAGUCCCCGGCCACUAGGAGCGCCGCCUCUGGAUGAGCGUUUUCCUGUUUGCUUAUGGCAGAAUACAGCUCAUUGAGUGCGGUAUUACUACCAGCCUCGUCUAUCGUGGCAUGUAGACAGCUAUGAAAAAUACAGAUGAAAACUCUCUAGGUAAAUACAUUUUUUGAAAAAUGUAAUCAUCCUUAAAACAGGUCUUUUCAGCAUUUUAGGGAGUUUAUUUGAAAAACACAUAGAAAAAGAUCAUAUACAAUCAGACAAUAAAUAAAACAGGAGACAGAACAGUUUGGGUUAAGCUAUGCAAGUUUUUGCAUCCUCAUUAGUAAUAAAUACAGUACAAAAUCCAUCAAAAGUGAACCUAAAGAUUUUCCACAACAUUCACCGAUCCAUGUUAUUCUUCAUUAUAAUGUAGCUAUUGCUUUUCAUGUUAUUGGUAAAUACUUCUAGUGUCUAUAAAAUACUCCAGCUCAUAACACAUUGCGCAGUUACAGCAAAACAACAGUGUGUUGUACAAAGAUGGCCACUUCCCUUUAAUCACUGGCAGGUUAGUUUAAACAGUUUAUCAGCAGCAAAGAAACAUAUCUGUAAUAUUCAAGAAGGUACAGCCUCAUAUUAAACACGUCUACAGCUUCACCCAUGUGCACAUAUGAAAACCUGAGGAGGACAUGCAUUAGAAAGCUUGUGCUUUAGGAUUCUACUGUUCAUUCCCCUUCACCAGCUUGAGUUAUUAUACUAUACACUUUUAGCAGUAACAACCCAGUAUACGGUCUGCAGAGGACAAAGGUAAGGCCAGGUUGUCACUAUUUACCACAUCCAAAGUCAUAAAAACUCUGUCUACUUCUACAAUUUCUCAUGUCCUGAUGAUGGUCAACUGACCGAAAGCUCAGCUAAAAUUAAAAUACAUUUACAUCUGACUGGAAGUGUGCAGAGACUUUUUCCUGUUUCUACAAUUGAUCUUUUAAAAUGUGAUUCUAAACUUUACCCGGUCCACACUACUAACCUUAUGCCAAACCUUAAAUUAAUACCAAAAAUAUGAUUUUUGUUUUCAUACAUUUUUAUUAUAAAGCCAAUUUUGACUUUGUGGCUGUGGUAACUAGAGACAACCAUAAGGCCAGGAGUUUUUUCCAGACCAUGUGACCUGACCAGGAAGUAGACAUGGGGUAAAGACAGUGACAGCAGGAAAAAUUAAAAUAAGACCAGUCAGCUUCAUUCCAAUGAGAUAUAUGUAAGAUGAAUACAUUGUUAUUAUUAAGAAAAUGCACACAGAAAACAGGUGGUUGGCUUAUUAUACCCAGGUGUAAAACUACUACCUAGAGUAUCACACCAGAAAAACACAAGAUCAAUAGCUCAAGUUUAUCAUGUUAGCCACCUUCCUAACCUAACCACACAAACACAGCAUUUGCCAGCAAUACAAAGUACCUAAUAAUGCAGUUAUUAAUUCAUAUGGGAAGAGUUAACAUAGCUGGACAGAGGAUGCUAUGGACGUAUGCUCUGAAUGGAGACACCCAAUAUCCAGAUAUAAUAUGGUGACAUAUACAACCGAGGUCAAACAAACUGUGAAACUGGUAAUGAUCCGGGAUAAAUAUGAAAAAUAAAAGUAUCAUAUUUCCACUAUGCCAGUGAGGAGUUUAGCCAUGCUAGGAGUGCAAUGACCGAGGUUUACAUGCUGAAACACUUGCACCUGGUCAGUCUGUUCACUAGAUUAAAGCAGAGUGUGGGAAUCUUCUAAAUGGAAUGGAAUGAAGAUCAACAGCACCACGUUGGCUAUAGACAGAGCCCGUUACACCUUGUCACCCUUCCAAAUGACAAUAAAACACAACUUGCAUGAAAAGCAUCCCCACCAACCUAUGCAUAAUGAGGUAUCCCCCCAACAUCUUGUGUUAUUUCCACUCCAAAUUAUUGUGAAAUACUUAAGGCAUUUCAACUCAGAGCCUCCUAUGUGAAGUAGCAACCCUCCUUGUCUGUCUGUAGUUUUUUGGAUGGAAGGGUUUGGACAAAGGGAAAUAAAAAACACAACACACAGUCAAGUCAACCACCAAGAGAACACAAGGAAGCAUGAAGAUACAUGUAACCGAACACAAGCUAAGCUAGAACAAGGAGACCCCACACCACCAAAUCUAUUUCAGACAACGCCAUAGUGCAUUAACAAAACAAGCUAGAUUAUUGCAACAAUAAAUGUUUUCUGCAGCAUUGCAGCCAUUUCUUCAAAAUGGUAAGACAUGGACAAGGACUUGGUCCAAUGUCCAAAUUAGCAUGAGUGCUCAAAACAAAUUGAUAGAAAGAAAACUGAAAUGAAGAAAGGACUAAUAACAAAUCAAAUAAUUCUAAAUACUAAGAAUAAUUGUUUGGUAUUUUUAAAUUAUUGGCUUUUUCUCCCUUUAACCCUCUUUCAAGUGAACUACACCAACAUGAUUCAUGCACGAUAUAGGGAAAACAGCUUCCAUCACUGAACAGUUUACAGUUGCUCUAGCAAUACCAUACGACUACCAUCAUGGGGGACCAUCUUACACAUUCCAGAACACAGAACAAAGGCUUACGAGUUGGAUCUCUCCCUGGGACACCAGCUGUAUUCUUGUAUCGAAAAACGGGAACAACUGAGAUUGAAAGGAAGGGAACCGAAACACAAUGGAGGUUGUUUGCUAUGUACUGUAUAAAUCACAUGGGUUUGUUCUGUAGGCAAUAAGGUCCUGGUAUA